UUCCACAAUGGGCGAAAGCCUGAUGGAGCAACGCCGCGUGAGUGAAGAAGGUUUUCGGCUCGUAAAACUCUGUUGUAAUGGAAGAACAAGUACAGUAGUAACUGGCUGUACCUUGACGGUACCUUAUUAGAAAGCCACGGCUAACUCCGUGCCAGCAGCCGCGGUAACACGUAGGUGGCAAGCGGUUUCCGGGAUUAUUGGGCGUAAAGCGGGCGCAGGCGGGCCUUUAAGUCUGAUGGGAAAACCCACGGCUCAACCGUGGGGGGUCAUUGGAACAUGGGGGACUUGAGUGCAGAAGAGGAAAGUGGGAUUCCAAGUGUAGCGGUGAAAUGCGUAGAGAUUUGGAGGAACACCAGUGGCGAAGGCGACUUUCUGGUCUGUAACUGACGCUGAGGCGCGAAAGCGUGGGGAGCAAACA
rnacentral:rRNA from 1 species